rnacentral:rRNA from 1 species
CGCAAGCCUGACGGAGCAACGCCGCGUGAGGGAUGGAGGCCUUUGGGCUGUAAACCUCUUUUCUCAAGGAAGAAGAUCUGACGGUACUUGAGGAAUAAGCCACGGCUAAUUCCGUGCCAGCAGCCGCGGUAAUACGGGAGUGGCAAGCGUUAUCCGGAAUUAUUGGGCGUAAAGCGUCCGCAGGCGGCCGUUUAAGUCUGUUGUUAAAUCGUGGAGCUCAACUCCAUCACGGCAAUGGAAACUGUUCGGCUUGAGUAUGGUAGGGGCAGAGGGAAUUUCCGGUGUAGCGGUGAAAUGCGUAGAUAUCGGGAAGAACACCAGUGGCAAAAGCGCUCUGCUGGGCCAUUACUGACGCUCAUGGACGAAAGCCAGGGGAGCGAAAGGGAUUAGAUACCCCUGUAGUCCUGGCCGUAAACGAUGAACACUAGAUGUUGGGGGAAUCGACCCCCUCGGUGUCGUAGCUAACGCGUUAAGUGUUCCGCCUGGGGAGUACGCACGCAAGUGUGAAACUCAAAGGAAUUGACGGGGGCCCGCACAAGCGGUGGAGUAUGUGGUUUAAUUCGAUGCAACGCGAAGAACCUUACCAAGGCUUGACAUCCUGCGAAUCUCCAAGAAAUUGGAGAGUGCCUUUUGGAACGCAGUGACAGGUGGUGCAUGGCUGUCGUCAGCUCGUGUCGUGAGAUGUUGGGUUAAGUCCCGCAACGAGCGCAACCCACGUUUUUAGUUGCCAGCAUUCAGUUGGGCACUCUAGAAAGACUGCCGGUGACAAACCGGAGGAAGGUGUGGACGACGUCAAGUCAUCAUGCCCCUUACGCCUUGGGCUACACACGUACUACAAUGCUGCGGACAAAGAGUAGCGAUCUUGCGAAAGUUAGCUAAUCUCGUAAACCGCGGCUCAGUUCAGAUCGUAGGCUGCAACUCGCCUACGUGAAGGAGGAAUCGCUAGUAAUCGCAGGUCAGCAUACUGCGGUGAAUACGUUCCCGGGCCUUGUACACACCGCCCGUCACACCAUGGAAGUUGGCCAUGCCCGAAGUCGUUACUCUAACCUUUUGGAAGAGGGCGCCGAAGGCAGGGCUAAUGACUGGGGUGAAGUCGUAACAAGGUAGCCGUAGCGGAAGCUGCGGCUGGAUCACCUCCUAA